rnacentral:lncRNA from 1 species
CAGAAAGUUAUUUCUCACAGUUCUGGAGCCUGGAAAGCCCAAAACAAUGGUGCUGACAUCUAGCAAGACACUUCUUGCUGUAUCAUCUCAUGCAGAAAGACAGAGAGAGCAAGAGAUUCAUACCUCCAACAAGUUUCUUGGCUGGGAUUGCUAAUGCUGGGAACUGCAAGAUCUAGAUUGGCCUCAUCUAUUGUACCUGUCAGUGUGCAAGCAGGUGGGGAGAACUGUUCCAUGUCCAUUCAAGACUAGGGCUUGUGGAGCUCAAUCAUCUGGAAACUCCCCAGUCACCAUGACAAGAGAAAGAUGAUGCAGAAUCACAGUCCAGUCCUUAAGGCUUCUAACAGAAGUCCACUGUGUUUGGGAAAAUGCAAUGUUACCAUAUUUCUCAAAAGAAGGAGGAAUAGAAAUAUAAACAGGACCAAUAAAUACCAAAUUUCUAGAAUUUCUGGGAGAAAGAGAAAUGAAGAUCACAAAUGGAAUUAACAUUGGAAUUCAGUUGCAUUUAGAAGAAUAAAGAACUUUUCAUGGAAACCAUGACAGAGCAUACUGUAAUCACUUCAUAAAUACACAAAUAGGAAUUUAGCUGAUUAAUCAUUUCAUUCUAAUCAUCUGGUACUGGGCCAGGUACUUAGUUUGUGCCUAAUUUUUAUUUAUUGAUUUGACAAAUGUUUGGGAUAUCUAUAAACCCAGAGAUAAAAAGAGGAUCAUAUCCAAGUUUGUUUCCUACACCAAAAAUCAGUUACAAAGGUUUUGAAUGUAAUAACAAAUAUAUGUUGGAAAAUGUUAAUGUUCUUUGCAAAAUGUAUUUCUCUGUUAUCUGUGUCCUAUAUGUGUUGUAUUCCUUAUUUACUGCUGCAUAACAAGCCAAUCCAUAACAGAGUACUUAGAAGAACUAUUUGUUAUUACUCUCAGUCUAUAGGCCAGGAGGGCUGUUCUGUUGAUCUGGCAAGGCUCUGCAAAUCUUGGCUGGGAUUGCUGAUGCUGGAAACUACAAGAUCUAGGCUGGCCUCACACUGGUGUGGUGUGCAGUUUGGCUCCAUGCUUGCUUGGAAAAUAGGAAAGACUGAGCCAUGUGUCUUUCAUACAGAGGCUAACUAGAGCUUAUUUACAUGGUGGCAGCAUGUGAGGCAAAACAGGGUAAAUACUAAUGUGCAAGUGCUGUUCUUUGCAUAAUGUUUGCUUGCUACUAUCCCACUGGCCAAAGCAAAUCACAAGGAUAAGCCAAAAAUUUUAGUGGGUGGAUAUUAACUGUCUUAGUCACUUUUGGAUAUUAAUUGUCUUAGUCACUUUCUCUCUGCUGGAACACAGUACCUGAUACCCACAACUAAAGGAGGAGAGGUUUAUUUUGGCUUAUGUUUUUAGUCCAUGAUCUGCUAGCUCAAAGGCAGAAAAGCAAGAUGGAAGGCCCUGGGUGAAGGAAAGCUGCU